CCUAAAGUCAUAUUAAGUUGAGUAAGACUAUUUGCACCUCACGAGAUAUUAAGGACAACCCAUUUUCUCGUCAAAAAGCUUACUCUCAAAACACCCCAGAAUCCUUAUCAUUUUUCAGUCUCAACUAUGUUUAACUUCCCUGAAGCCCUAGAUACCCAAUUUGGUGAGCAAGUGCCGCCAACUAUGUUUCUUCUUCCCUGAAGAUCUUGCAACUGUAUCUUCCAUCUUCGUCAGUUUCUUGGUUCUCCCUACCACCAAUCUCUCUCCUUUCUUCUCCUUCUCCUUUGAUGGCUCUUUCUGGAGUUCAUGAAGAUAGAGGAAAGUUGAGGAUUUAUGAGAGUUCGGAUGAGCUUGGAACUGAUUUGGAAUUUCAAUUUUGGUGUUGCUGCUCCUAGGGAGUUCAUGUGGCAUGAAGAAGAAACCCUAGUUAGAGGAGGAAGAAGAGGGGUGCAGAGGUUUUUUUUUU